rnacentral:rRNA from 1 species
UACGAAGGGGGCUAGCGUUGUUCGGAAUUACUGGGCGUAAAGCGCGCGCAGGCGGCUAUCCAAGUCAGUGGUGAAAGCCCGGAGCUCAACUCCGGAACUGCCAUUGAAACUGUUUAGCUUGAGUAUGAGAGAGGUGAGUGGAAUUCCCAGUGUAGAGGUGAAAUUCGUAGAUAUUGGAAGAACACCGGUGGCGAAGGCGGCUCACGUGCUCAUUACUGACGCUCAGGCGCGACAGCGUGGGGAUCAAACAGG